rnacentral:rRNA from 1 species
CGUAACAAGGUCUCCGUUGGUGAACCAGCGGAGGGAUCAUUACUGAGUUACCGCUCUAUAACCCUUUGUGAACAUACCUAUAUGUUGCUUCGGCGGUCGGGCCCCCGGGCCCCCGGCCCCGCUCACGCGGGGCGUCCGCCGGAGGAUAACCAAACUCUGAUUUAACGACGUUUCUUCUGAGUGGCACAAGCAAAUAAUCAAAACUUUUAACAACGGAUCUCUUGGUUCUGGCAUCGAUGAAGAACGCAGCGAAAUGCGAUAAGUAAUGUGAAUUGCAGAAUUCAGUGAAUCAUCGAAUCUUUGAACGCACAUUGCGCCCGCCAGCAUUCUGGCGGGCAUGCCUGUUCGAGCGUCAUUUCAACCCUCAAGCACUGCUUGGUGUUGGGGCUCUACGGUUGACGUAGGCCCCCAAAACUAGUGGCGGACCCUCCCGGAGCCUCCUUUGCGUAGUAACUUUUGUCUCGCACUGGGAUUCGGAGGGACUCUAGCCGUUAAACCCCCAAUUUUCCAAAGGUUGACCUCGGAUCAGGUAGGAAUACCCGCUGAACUUAAGCAUAUCA